GAGUGGGAAGUUAUGUAAUUAAACAUUUACUCUGCAAAGGUAAAAGAGGGAUAAAUUCCCCCCAUUUU
rnacentral:tRNA from 1 species